GACGAACGCUGGCGGCGUGCUUAACACAUGCAAGUCGAACGGCAAGGCCCUGCUUUUGUGGGGUGCUCGAGUGGCGAACGGGUGAGUAACACGUGAGUAACCUGCCCUUGCCUUUGGGAUAACUUCAGGAAACUGGGGCUAAUACCGGAUAGGAGCUCCUGCUGCAUGGUGGGGGUUGGAAAGUUUCGGCGGUUGGGGAUGGACUCGCGGCUUAUCAGCUUGUUGGUGGGGUAGUGGCUUACCAAGGCUUUGAAGGGUAGCCGGCCUGAGCGGGUGACCGGCCACAUUGGGACUGAGAUACGGCCCAGACUCCUACGGGAGGCAGCAGUGGGGAAUAUUGCACAAUGGGCGGAAGCCUGAUGCAGCAACGCCGCGUGCGGGAUGACGGCCUUCGGGUUGUAAACCGCUUUCGCCUGUGACGAAGCGUGAGUGACGGUAAUGGGUAAAGAAGCACCGGCUAACUACGUG
rnacentral:rRNA from 1 species